UCCUUUCUCCCUCCAUACCUCCCUCCCAGUCCAGAGUGCUUGUCUCUUCCAUAAGGGUGGUGCCAAGUUAAUUCUGUGUGGGCCCAGCUGGUGUAGUCUCUGUACAACACUUUGGCUGAACCCAGCGUAGUGAGUCAUUAACCAGCAGGGCUGAUCCCAGAGUGGGGAGUCAUUAACCAGCAGGGCUGAACCCAGAGUGACAUUCACUCCCAAACUGGUGCUGCUGGACUUCAGUGACAAGGACAGUAUGCCUGAGGUGGUGGAGUGCUGCAGCUGUGUGGAUGUCCUGGUGUGUACCAGCAACACAAAGCUGAAGGCCCCCGUACACACCGUCUCACUUGAGCUGGACAGGAACAUCAUGGACAUCAACUACCAGCACAUUGGCCAAAGUGCAAGCAUUCUUUUACUGCCUGCAAGCCGAGGUGGAGGAGUCUAGGACACUAGUCAGCACAUUUUGGACACACCUUCAUCAACGCAGCUGCCCGCUCCAAGCCCCCUGCUAAACCUCAGAAGAACCAGUUUGCAUUUGGCGUGCACCUGGACGAUCUGGCCAAUGAGAUUGUGUGAACAGUGAGCAGGAAAAAUAAAUACGUUCUUCUGGCCACGCCCAUCCCCAGGGUCACUCGCUCCCUCCUCUCCUUCUUCCCCUCGUUCUUCUUUGUCACGGUUGCCGGGGGCGCGAAGGACUCUGUCAUGGAAGAACAGACGCAGUAGAAGGAAGGAAAGAGAGUAGAAGGGAAGAGAGAAAAUGUAAGAAGGAUAAUAGAAGGUACAGCAUAUUACAGCACAGUUCAAUACAAUGUAAUCUAACCCAUCAGGGUGGAAGCAUAUAGUCUACAUGUCCACGGCCUCUGAUGACAUUGCAGUUCGCCUUUGUUCCUGUAGGUGGCAGCAUUUAACUGUUCUUGUAUUCUUACAAUGUGCCUGUGCCAAACGUUACACCACCCCUACCGCUAUCAAGAUUCACUUGUUUGUCUCUCACUUUAAAUAUAGUUGUUUCUAUUGGUUAUUUCAGUGUGUAGACUAGCCACAUUAUAUGGCCUCAUGUGAAGAUGUAGUUCGGUAGAUGAUGGUUGUCUUUUCAUUUGACAAUAUUCUUUAUCCAAUAUACUUGUCUGCCUGAAUGACUUUAUUUGUCUUUUUAUAGAAAACAUUUCUGUAAAUAUUUGGUUGACUUCAUUUCUAUUUCAACGCUAUUGCAUAUGGCACUAAUGUCGAGCAAUAAUACAGACUUGGGAUUGAUUUUGUUGGUAGAUUGAAUCCCUGGGCUGACAAGGUAAAAAUCUGUUAUUCUGCCCCUGAACAAGGCAGUCAGUGUAAAUUAGAAAUGGUUCUUAACUGGCUUACGUAGUUAAAUAAAAAAAAUACAACAUGCACACAUGUGACCACCAUGUCUGGGAUGACCCCUCCCUUGCGUGCACACACAAAGCAUUGUGAUGACCCCUCCCUGUGAAAUUGUCAUGCAAAUGAAGGAGUCAGAAAGAAGGUUGGGCAUCCACUAGUUUAGUGGAUCCAUGUCUGUGACAUGUUGUCUACUGUUUAUUGUCUAUGUUCAUUAUAAAUUAACAUCAUAGUGGAUCCAUAUCUGUGACAUGUUGUCUACUGUUUAUUGUCUAUGUUCAUUAUAAAUUAACAUCAUAGUGGAUCCAUGUCUGUGACAUGUUGUCUACUGUUUAUUGUCUAUGUUCAUUAUAAAUUAACAUCAUAGUGGAUCCAUGUCUGUGACAUGUUGUCUACUGUUUAUUGUCUAUGUUCAUUAUA